rnacentral:rRNA from 1 species
UACGUAGGCAGCAAGCGUUGUUCGGAGUUACUGGGCGUAAAGGGUGUGUAGGCGGUUCUUUAAGUUUGGUGUGAAAUCUCCCGGCUCAACCGGGAGGGUGCGCCGAAUACUGAGGGACUCGAGUGCGGGAGAGGAAAGUGGAAUUCCUGGUGUAGCGGUGAAAUGCGUAGAUAUCAGGAGGAACACCGGUGGUGUAGGCGGCUCUCUGGGACGGUACUGACGCUGAGACGCGAAAGCGUGGGGAGCAAACAGG